GCCUAUGUACCGACAGGAAAAAGGGGACGAAGGAAUAGACAGAAUAGAAACAAUACCCUCAAACAUGAAGCUGCGAACCCACAGGACAAGUCAGAUACCUUUCUUGUGGAAGUUCACGUGAUUUCGGACAUGAAACAUCAACAUAGCUUCAAGAAAAAUGAAGAACUAAUUGCUUACAUGGCAAUCAUGACAAACGCUGUCAACUUAAGAUUUGUCGACAUGACAAGACCGAGGGUCAGUUUCAUCCUCGUCGGAAUAACAAGGAGCAGAGAUGAUGCUUUCGCGACAAUACACCAAGGCAAGUUGGAUGCGCCAGCGACGUUGGGCGGGCUCGAAAAAUACAUCGAGAAUGGAAAAGUUCCUGGAAGCAAUGACAUCGUGUUUCUUGUAACUGGGUUGGACAUGUUCAACAAACCGGACGGAAAAAUUAACACGGGUUUGGCCGGUCUUGCAUUCCGUGGCACUGUUUGCGGAAAGCUGAGGAUUGGCGAGGGUGAAGACACGGCUACUUCCUACGAAGGAAUUACAAGAUGGCCCAUGAGCUGUGUCACGUGAUGGGGUCGCCACACGAUGAAACCCCUGAGUGUCCUUGGGAAGAAGGAUACUUGAUGAGUUAUGUGGACGGAGGACUAAAAAAGUAUCGCGUUUCCCCUUGCAGCGAAAGAUCCAUGCGAGAUGUCUACAAGAAACUUAAGCCGGAGUGCAUAGAGGUGAAGACGAAGACGAACUACAUGGAAAAAUUCAAGAAAUAUCCAGGCCAAACAGUGCGAGCGUUGCAUUACUGCAAGAAGACGUUGAAGAAAAGUGGAAGAUGGUUUAUUAAGAACGAUUACAGCCUCAACAGGCAAUGCAAAAUGGCGUGCUGCAUAAAAA